UUUUAAUUACAAAAGUAAAUAUAUAAUAUAAUAUUUGUUGCUGCCUUGUUCUAUAUAAAUGCUUCUAACAUGCAGGUAACAUUUAUAUAUGUAUUAGUUUGAAUAAAUCAUUUUAAUAAAGUUACAUUAUAGGCAGGAAUGUUUGACUGGAAAUAUAAACGAUGUUGUACAUAAUGCAGAUAGCUUAGGCAAAAAAGAGAUUGGUGAAAUGGAGAAUGAGACUAACUAGGGUGAAAAAAAAUGAAUAUUAAUAUGUGAAUGGUACUUUGUUUAACAUCUACCUGUUUCUACAGAUACAGUACAGACGCAUUUAUAAAUGGGCUUGAUGUUUUUUUGAAUUAAAUAUGUUGUAUUGA
rnacentral:lncRNA from 1 species